rnacentral:rRNA from 1 species
AGAAUCAACGCUGGCGGCGUGCCUAACACAUGCAAGUCGAACGAGAAAGUGGAGCAAUCCAUGAGUAAAGUGGCGCACGGGUGAGUAACACGUGACUAACCUACCUUUUAGUGGGGGAUAACCUAGGGAAACCUGGGCUAAUACCGCAUAAUACCUACGGGUCAAAGCAGUAAUGCGCUGGAAGAGGGGUCGCGGCCGAUUAGCUAGUUGGCGGGGUAAUGGCCCACCAAGGCAGUGAUCGGUA